rnacentral:rRNA from 1 species
CGUAGGCCUAACACAUGCAAGUUCGAACGGCAGCACAGGAGGAGCUUGCUCUCUGGGUGGCGAGUGGCGGACGGGUGAGGAAUACAUCGGAAUCUACUUUUUCGUGGGGGAUAACGUANGGAAACUUACGCUAAUACCGCAUACGACCUACGGGUGAAAGCAGGGGACCUUCGGGCCUUGCGCGAUUGAAUGAGCCGAUGUCGGAUUAGCUAGUUGGCGGGGUAAAGGCCCACCAAGGCGACGAUCCGUANCUGGUCUGAGAGGAUGAUCAGCCACACUGGAACUGAGACACGGUCCANACUCCUACGGGAGGCAGCAGUGGGGAAUAUUGGACAAUGGGCGCAAGCCUGAUCCAGCCAUACCGCGUGGGUGAAGAAGGCCUUCNGGUUGUAAAGCCCUUUUGUUGGGAAAGAAAUCCAGCCGGUUAAUACCUGGUUGGGAUGACGGUACCCAAAGAAUAAGCACCGGCUAACUUCNUGCCANCANCCGCGGUAAUACNAAGGGUGCAAGCGUUACUCNGAAUUACUGGGCGUAAAGCGUGCGUANGUGGUCNUUUAANUCUGUUGUGAAAGCCCUGGGCUCANCCUGNUAACU